CGCACCUUGCGCCUCUUGGUAUUCCGAGAGGCAUGCCUGUUUGAGUGUCAUGAAAUAUCAAUCCCUGAUGGUUUUUCCAUCUUGGACUUGGACCUGGGCGCUGCCUCACAAGGCUCGCCUCAAAUGACUUAGUGGGAACUUCUUGACCUACGCCUGACGUAAUAAGUUUCGUCUCGGCCGGUCUCGAGGCCCGCUCACAACAACCCAUAUCUUUUGACAUUGACCUCAAAUCAGGUAGGGCUACCCGCUGAACUUAA
rnacentral:misc_RNA from 1 species